GACGAACGCUGGCGGCGUGCUUAACACAUGCAAGUCGAACGGAAAGGCCUCUUUCGGGGGGUACUCGAGUGGCGAACGGGUGAGUAACACGUGAGUAACCUGCCCUUGACUUUGGGAUAACUUCAGGAAACUGGGGCUAAUACCGGAUAGGAGCUCCUGCUGCAUGGUGGGGGUUGGAAAGUUUCGGCGGUUGGGGGUGGACUCGCGGCUUAUCAGCUUGUUGGUGGGGUAGUGGCUUACCAAGGCUUUGACGGGUAGCCGGCCUGAGAGGGUGACCGGCAACAUUGGGGCUGGGAUACGGCCCAGACUCCUACGGGAGGCAGCAGGGGGGAAUAUUGCACAAUGGGCGCAAGCUUGAUGCAGCAACGCCGCGGGCGGGAUGACGGCCUUCGGGUUGUAAACCGAUUUCAGCAGGGACGAAGCUUUGUGUGACGGUACCUGCAGAAGAAGCACCGGCUAACUACGUG
rnacentral:rRNA from 1 species